CGUCUAUUUUCUGGGUUUUAGGGGUGGGGGUGGGGAGGUUGACAUUGCCCAGCCUCUUUUCUGAAUUCGAUCUGCACGCCAUCUCUCCAUUUUCCCCAGGAGAGUCAGCCGCAGGAAAACCACAGAAUAAACAGAUAGAGGAGGAAGACUGAGCGAGCUCAGGGGAAAGACAGCACAGCCUCAAGGCUUAAAUCUGUUUGCUGUUCGAAGGACUCUUCCUGAGUAGUGUCUGAAAGCCUACCUGUUGAUUGCUCUGGGUGUGGGGCUGGGGUUGGGCAGGGAAUGG